rnacentral:tRNA from 1 species
GGACUGUAGCUCAGUGGCAGAGCGCUUGCCUAGCAUGUGGCAGGCACUGGGUUCAAUCCUCAGCACCA